GAUCAUGGCUCAGGAUGAACGCUAGCUACAGGCUUAACACAUGCAAGUCGAGGGGCAGCAUGGUCUUAGCUUGCUAAGGCCGAUGGCGACCGGCGCACGGGUGAGUAACACGUAUCCAACCUGCCGUCUACUCUUGGACAGCCUUCUGAAAGGAAGAUUAAUACAAGGUGGCAUCAUGAGUCCGCAUGUUCACAUGAUUAAAGGUAUUCCGGUAGACGAUGGGGAUGCG
rnacentral:rRNA from 1 species